GUAAAUGGAAGUAACAAUCGGCUGAACCAUGUCCACCUGCAGAAGGUUGUUUCUGAAGUGUUGCCUAAGCUCGAAUCUAGACAGUUAAAGGCAAGUGUGACAAUUUGAUGACCAUUUUCAUUAGACAUCUAUUUCAGUUUCUCUGUAGUUACAAAUAUAUGCCACAGAUUUAAGGUAUGAGGUUGAGAUGGCUGAUUCAAGAUGAGCUUGUAUAUCAACAGCUGAAUUACUUGGGAAAUAGCUAGUAACACUAGUUUAUUUGCUGAACCAUUUCUUAUAUUUAUUUUUUAGUAGUAGAAUGUUUUAUAUGUAUCACCUAUAAAUAUAUUAUUCUAUUUGGUUUAUGAUGGCACUGGAAUAUGAAUAUAUGAUCAUGUUUGUCUGUUUGUUCCUCCCUCUCUGUCUCCAUUAUUGUUUUUAAAAUGCUUAGUAUUUAUAAAGUAUUCUAAAAGUACAAUGAGAUGUCACACAUUUGAAUAAAAUAGUGACUUGUAAAUAGUUGUGUUGUGUUUUUAAUAUUAUUUGUCAUUUAUCCUUUUCUAAAAAUUGGGUUAACCAGAUAACAUUAUUACAAAUCAAAGAUUCAAGUAUCAAACUUGUAUCAUAUUCAGCUUCAAAAAAUAAAUAGUAAUUAUACUUGCAUUCAUUUUACAGAAGAGUUUCAUUUUGAUUUUUUAAAGUUAAUUUACAAAUUUAAAAUUGAAGUGAUUAAAAAACUAUUGAGAGUUUUGGCCAUCUUACCGGAUUCCCUCCAUUUGAUAGAGUUAUUGAGUGAAACAAACAAUAAAAUUUAAAUCUUUAUCAAGUGUAUAAUCAAAUUGCCUAUAAAACUUAAAUCCUUCAAUUUGAUAAGCCAGUCAGUAAACGUAAUUUUUUGUUUUCUACUUUAAUUUCCUAAAUACAUUUUAUGUUUAGGAAUUGGGAAUUAAUUUCCAAGUGAUCAAAAACAGGAUUCAAAUAGAUAACCGAACAAUUACUUUGUAAGAAGAAAGAAAGGACCUUUGACUUGAAGAUGAUUUUCAUAGCAACAGGAUGAUCCUUGAGCUCGCUUGUUCUACCCUUAGCUUUGAUGUGCUUGGCCGGCGACGACGGAGGGAACGGUCGCUUGAAAAAACUUUGUGGGGGUGUACCUUGCCGGAGACGGCGAACCUCCGAGCGGAAGCGGACUGUCACUGCCUCCUUGAGGAUACGGACUCGGCCAGAAAUUUGUUGCCGAGGAUCAAGUCGGAGUGUUAUUAAUGUUGACAGAGGAGGAGGGGAGCGGUGACUGCGGAACGAGAUCGCAGGCCCCGGGUGCGUACGAGAUCUAAAAAGAUCAGCGCUAGAGAGAAGAAAGAGAGGAGGAGAUCUACGGCGAGAAAAUGAUAAAUAAAGAGAAUGAGGUUGAGUCAGUCGUCAGUCAGAGAGGUAACAGAGAGGGAGGGAGGCGAGUAGAGAUCGAUAGCUAGGUUUUGGUUUUGUGAGCGAAAGAGAGCAGAGAAAGAUAUAUACAAACUAUGCUCAGCUCCAUGUUUUAAAAUUUUGCUCCGUGUUUUGUA
rnacentral:lncRNA from 1 species